rnacentral:rRNA from 1 species
AUUGAACGCUGGCGGCAUGCCUUACACAUGCAAGUCGAACGGCAGCACGGGUGCUUGCACCUGGUGGCGAGUGGCGAACGGGUGAGUAAUACAUCGGAACGUACCUUAUCGUGGGGGAUAACGCAGCGAAAGCUGUGCUAAUACCGCAUACGCCCUGAGGGGGAAAGCGGGGGAUCGCAAGACCUCGCGCGAUUAGAGCGGCCGAUGCCUGAUUAGCUUGUUGGUGGGGUAAAAGCCCACCAAGGCGACGUUCAGUAGCUGGUCGGAGAGGACGAUCAGCCACACUGGGACUGAGACACGGCCCAGACUCCUACGGGAGGCAGCAGUGGGGAAUUUUGGACAACGGGGGGAACCCUGAUCCAGCAAUGCCGCGUGAGUGAAGAAGGCCUUCGGGUCGUAAAGCUCUUUUGUCAGGGAAGAAACACCGGCUCUAACACAGUCCGGGAAUGACGGUACCUGAAGAAUAAGCACCGGCUAACUACGUGCCAGCAGCCGCGGUAA